CCUACGGGGGGCUGCAGUGGGGAAUAUUGGACAAUGGGGGCAACCCUGAUCCAGCCAUGCCGCGUGUGUGAAGAAGGCCCUCGGGUUGUAAAGCACUUUCAGUGAGGAAGAACGCCUGGUGGUUAAUACCCAUCAGGAAAGACAUCACUCACAGAAGAAGCACCGGCUAACUCCGUGCCAGCAGCCGCGGUAAUACGGAGGGUGCGAGCGUUAAUCGGAAUUACUGGGCGUAAAGCGCGCGUAGGUGGCUUGAUAAGCCGGUUGUGAAAGCCCCGGGCUCAACCUGGGAACGGCAUCCGGAACUGUUAAGCUAGAGUGCAGGAGAGGAAGGUGGAAUUCCCGGUGUAGCGGUGAAAUGCGUAGAGAUCGGGAGGAAUACCAGUGGCGAAGGCGGCUUUCUGGACUGACACUGACACUGAGGUGCGAAAGUGUGGGUAGCAAACAGGAUUAGAUACCCGAGUAGUC
rnacentral:rRNA from 1 species